GAUGAACGCUGGCGGCGUGCUUAACACAUGCAAGUCGAACGAAGCAUUUUACCGGAAUUUCUUCGGAGAGGAAAGUGAAAUGACUGAGUGGCGGACGGGUGAGUAACGCGUGGAUAACCUGCCAUAUACAGGGGGAUAACAGUUAGAAAUGACUGCUAAUACCGCAUAAGCGCACAGUAUCGCAUGAUACGGUGUGAAAAACUACGGUGGUAUAUGAUGGAUCCGCGUCUGAUUAGCUAGUUGGUGGGGUAAUGGCCCACCAAGGCGAUGAUCAGUAGCCGACCUGAGAGGGUGACCGGCCACAUUGGGACUGAGACACGGCCCAAACUCCUACGGGAGGCAGCAGUGGGGAAUAUUGCACAAUGGGCGAAAGCCUGAUGCAGCGACGCCGCGUGAGCGAAGAAGUAUUUCGGUAUGUAAAGCUCUAUCAGCAGGGAAGAAAUGACGGUACCUGACUAAGAAGCCCCGGCUAACUACGUGCC
rnacentral:rRNA from 1 species